rnacentral:rRNA from 1 species
CCCGCUCAGAAACGUCAAAGGAAUUGACGGGGGCCCGCACAAGCGGUGGAGUAUGUGGUUAAUUCGAUGCAACGCGAAGAACCUUACCUGGUCUUGACAUCCCGGAGACCCUUAGGAAACUAGGGGGUGCUUCCAUCUGGAAGAAUCUGGAGACAGGUGCUGCAUGGCUGUCGUCAGCUCGUGUCGUGAGAUGUUGGGUUAAGUCCCGCAACGAGCGCAACCCUUGCCUUUAGUUGCCAGCAGUUCGGCUGGGCACUCUAAAGGGACUGCCGGUGUUAAACCGGAGGAAGGUGGGGAUGACGUCAAGUCCUCAUGGCCUUUAUGACCAGGGCUACACACGUACUACAAUGGCCGAUACAAAGGGCAGCGACACUGCGAGGUGAAGCCAAUCCCGUAAAAUCGGUCUCAGUCCGGAUUGGAGUCUGCAACUCGACUCCAUGAAGUUGGAAUCGCUAGUAAUCGUGGAUCAGCAUGCCACGGUGAAUACGUUCCCGGGCCUU